rnacentral:rRNA from 1 species
GACGAACGCUGGCGGCGUGCCUAAUACAUGCAAGUAGAACGCUGAGGGAGGAGCUUGCUUCUCUGGAUGAGUUGCGAACGGGUGAGUAACGCGUGGGUAACCUGCCUGGUAGCGGGGGAUAACUAUUGGAAACUAUAGCUAAUACCGCAUAAGAGUAGAUGUUGCAUGACAUUUGCUUAAAAGUUGCGAUUGCAUCACUAGCAGAUGGACCUUCGUUGUAUUAGCUUGUUGGUGAGGUAACGGAUCACCAAGGCAACGAUGCGUAGCCGACCUGAGAUGGCGAGUGGCCACACUGGGACUGAGACACGGCCCAGUCGCACACGGGAGGCAGCAGUAGGGAAUCGUCGGCCAUGGACGGAAGUCUGACCGAGCAACGCCGCGUGAGUGAAGAACGUUGUCGGAUCGGAAAGCUCUGUUGUAAGAGAAGAACGAGCGUGAGCGUGUAAAGUUCACAGUGUGACGGUAUCUGACAAGAAAGCACCGGCUAACUACGUG